rnacentral:rRNA from 1 species
UACGGAGGGUGCAAGCGUUAUCCGGAUUCACUGGGUUUAAAGGGUGCGUAGGCGGAUAGGUAAGUCCGUGGUGAAAUCCUGCAGCCUAACUGCAGAACUGCCGUGGAUACUAUCUAUCUUGAGUGUCGUGGAGGUUAGCGGAAUAUGUCAUGUAGCGGUGAAAUGCUUAGAUAUGACAUAGAACACCCAUUGCGAAGGCAGCUAACUACGCGAUAAUUGACGCUGAUGCACGAAAGCGUGGGGAUCAAACAGG